GACGAACGCUGGCGGCGUGCUUAACACAUGCAAGUCGAACGGAAAGGCCCUGCUUUUGUGGGGUGCUCGAGUGGCGAACGGGUGAGUAACACGUGAGUAACCUGCCCUGGACUUUGGGAUAACUUCAGGAAACUGGGGCUAAUACCGGAUAGGAGCUUCUGCUGCAUGGUGGGGGUUGGAAAGUUUCGGCGGUUGGGGAUGGACGCGCGGCAUAUCAUCUUGUGGGGGGGGUAGUCGUUUACCAAGGCUUUGACGGAUACCGCGCGAGAGAGGGUGACGGCACACAGGGGGACUGAGAUGGCCCAGAGACCUAUAGGGGGGAGAAGUGGGGGAAAUAGUACACAGGGCGCAGGCGUGAGACAGCGACGCCGCGCGUGGGAGAACGGCCUUUGGGGUGUAUAAACCUCUUGCGCGGGAGACGGAGUGUUUGUGACGGUACCGGGAGAAGAAGCACCGGCUAACUACGUG
rnacentral:rRNA from 1 species